rnacentral:rRNA from 1 species
UGGGUCUCGCUCGUUACCUGACUUAACAGGAUGCUUCACAGUACGAACUGACGACGGCCAUGCACCUCCUCUCAGCUAGUCAUGCAGAGUCUUCAGCCCGGCAAUCAUUCUGCUGUCCUAUCCGGUGAGCUUCCCGGCGUUGAGUCCAAUUAAACCGCAGGCUCCACCUGUUGUGGUGCUCCCCCGCCAAUUCCUUUAAGUUUCAGCCUUGCGACCGUACUUCCCAGGCGGCGCGUUUCACGGUUUCCCUUCGGCACCUCGAUGACUCGUGGUCAUCGACACACCUAACGCGCAUCGUUUACGGCUGGGACUACCCGGGUAUCUAAUCCGGUUUGCUCCCCCAGCUUUCGUCCCUCACUGUCGAAGCCGUUCUGGUGAGGCGCCUUCGCCACAGGUGGUCCCUCGAGGAUUACAGGAUUUCACUCCUACCCCCGAAGUACCCCUCACCUCUCCCGGUUCCUAGAUUGCCAGUAUCUCUUAGACGCCUGACAGUUAAGCUGCCAGAUUUCCCAAGAGACUUAACAACCCAGCUACGAACGCUUUAAGCCCAAUAAAAGUGGCCACCACUCGAGCCGCCGGUAUUACCGCGGCGGCUGGCACCGGUCUUGCCCGGCCCUUUCUUUGGGUGUGUUUUAGACACCCAGACAGCCUGCAUGUACAGGCACUCGAGGUUCCCUUAUCACGGUUGCCCGCAUUGUAAAGUUUUCGCGCCUGCUGCGCCCCGUAGGGCCUGGAUUCGUGUCUCAGAAUCCAACUCCGGGCUCUUGCUCCCACAACCCCG